rnacentral:rRNA from 1 species
GUGGGUUAGAUACCCUGGUAGUCCACGCUGUAAACGAUGAAUACUAGGUGUGGGAGGACUGACCCCUUCCGUGCCGCAGUUAACACAAUAAGUAUUCCACCUGGGGAGUACGACCGCAAGGUUGAAACUCAAAGGAAUUGACGGGGGCCCGCACAAGCGGUGGAUUAUGUGGUUUAAUUCGACGCAACGCGAAGAACCUUACCAGGAUUUGACAUCCUACUAACGAAGUAGAGAUACAUUAGGUGCCCUUCGGGGAAAGUAGAGACAGGUGGUGCACGGUUGUCGACAGCU